CUAGCGUUGCUCGGAAUCACUGGGCGUAAAGGGUGCGUAGGCGGGUCUUUAAGUCAGGGGUGAAAUCCUGGAGCUCAACUCCAGAACUGCCUUUGAUACUGAGGAUCUUGAGUACGGGAGAGGUGAGUGGAACUGCGAGUGUAGAGGUGAAAUUCGUAGAUAUUCGCAAGAACACCAGUGGCGAAGGCGGCUCACUGGCCCGUUACUGACGCUGAGGCACGAAAGCGUGGGGAGCAAACAGG
rnacentral:rRNA from 1 species